rnacentral:rRNA from 1 species
UACGUAGGGUGCGAGCGUUGUCCGGAAUUACUGGGCGUAAAGAGCUCGUAGGUGGCUUGUCGCGUUGUCCGUGAAAACUCACAGCUCAACUGUGGGCGUGCGGGCGAUACGGGCAGACUGGAGUACUGCAGGGGAGACUGGAAUUCCUGGUGUAGCGGUGGAAGUGCGCAGAUAUCAGGAGGAACACCGGUGGCGAAGGCGGGUCUCUGGGCAGUAACUGACGCUGAGGAGCGAAAGCGUGGGGAGCGAACAGG